GACGAAGGAUGCAAGCGUUAUCCGGAUUCAUUGGGUUUAAAGGGAGCGUAGGCGGCCUUGUAAGUCAGUGGUGAAAUCUUUGGGCUUAACCCAAAAAUUGCCAUUGAUACUGCAGGGCUUGAGUACAGUUGCUGUGGGCGGAAUAUGACAUGUAGUGGUGAAAUACAUAGAGAUGUCAUAGAACACCGAUUGCGAAGGCAGCUCACAAAACUGUAACUGACGCUGAGGCUCGAAAGUGCGGGGAUCAGACAGG
rnacentral:rRNA from 1 species